rnacentral:rRNA from 4 species
AGACCCGAAACCCGGUGAUCUAGCCAUGGGCAGGUUGAAGGUUGGGUAACACUAACUGGAGGACCGAACCGACUAAUGUUGAAAAAUUAGCGGAUGACCUGUGGCUGGGGGUGAAAGGCCAAUCAAACCGGGAGAUAGCUGGUUCUCCCCGAAAGCUAUUUAGGUAGCGCCUCGUGAAUUCAUCUCCGGGGGUAGAGCACUGUUUCGGCUAGGGGGCCAUCCCGGCUUACCAACCCGAUGCAAACUGCGAAUACCGGAGAAUGUUAUCACGGGAGACACACGGCGGGUGCUAACGUCCGUCGUGAAGAGGGAAACAACCCAGACCGCCAGCUAAGGUCCCAAAGUCAUGGUUAAGUGGGAAACGAUGUGGGAAGGCCCAGACAGCCAGGAUGUUGGCUUAGAAGCAGCCAUCAUUUAAAGAAAGCGUAAUAGCUCACUGGUCGAGUCGGCCUGCGCGGAAGAUGUAACGGGGCUAAACCAUGCACCGAAGCUGCGGCAGCGACACUGUGUGUUGUUGGGUAGGGGAGCGUUCUGUAAGCCUGUGAAGGUGGCCUGUGAGGGUUGCUGGAGGUAUCAGAAGUGCGAAUGCUGACAUAAGUAACGAUAAAGCGGGUGAAAAGCCCGCUCGCCGGAAGACCAAGGGUUCCUGUCCAACGUUAAUCGGGGCAGGGUGAGUCGACCCCUAAGGCGAGGCCGAAAGGCGUAGUCGAUGGGAAACGGGUUAAUAUUCCCGUACUUGGUGUUACUGCGAAGGGGGGACGGAGAAGGCUAUGUUGGCCGGGCGACGGUUGUCCCGGUUUAAGCGUGUAGGUGUGUGUUCCAGGUAAAUCCGGUUCACUUUAACACUGAGGCGUGACGACGAGGCACUACGGUGCUGAAGCAACAAAUGCCCUGCUUCCAGGAAAAGCCUCUAAGCAUCAGGUAACAUCAAAUCGUACCCCAAACCGACACAGGUGGUCAGGUAGAGAAUACCAAGGCGCUUGAGAGAACUCGGGUGAAGGAACUAGGCAAAAUGGUGCCGUAACUUCGGGAGAAGGCACGCUGACAC